AGGACGAACGGCUGGCGGCGUGCCUAACACAUGCAAGUCGAACGAAGCAUCGGGAACUGGGAUUCGUCAAGGAGAACGAUGACUUAGUGGCGGACGGGUGAGUAAUGCAUGAGCAACCUGCCCUUGAGUGGGGGACAACAGUUGGAAACGACUGCUAAUACCGCAUGAUGUCUCCGGGGGACAUCCCCUGGAGACCAAAGGAGCAAUUCGCUUAAGGAUGGGCUCAUGUCUGAUUAGCUGGUUGGCGGGGUAACGGCCCACCAAGGCGACGAUCAGUAGCCGGACUGAGAGGUUGAACGGCCACAUUGGGACUGAGAUACGGCCCAGACUCCUACGGGAGGCAGCAGUGGGGAAUAUUGGGCAAUGGGCGAAAGCCUCGACCCAGCAACGCCGCGUGAAGGAAGAAGGCCUUCGGGUUGUAAACUUCUUUUAUGAGGGACGAAGGACGUGACGGUACCUCAUGAAUAAGCCACGGCUAACUACGUGCCAGCCGCAGC
rnacentral:rRNA from 1 species